rnacentral:lncRNA from 1 species
UGGUAAGACAUAUUGCAGGUUCUUACUUCUCCUCGAAGGCUGACUGUGUAGGCAGAUUGCAAGAAUUGUUUUUACUAGCAAUAGUGCCAGGAGAACAUGCUGAAUAAACCCACUUCAUCAAUAAUUAAUUAAUUAAUUACACAGCCCCUCAAGGAUAGAGGCUAGAGAAAAGUCUCUACAUUGCAUCUCAGGGAUCCAACAAAUAAAGGCCUAUUGAGACUUCUGCAUCCAAGUCUUACCUCAGCAUAAAGAGCUGGGAAACGGGAGACUAGCGUUCUGUCAUCUCCUCAUUGUGGUGUGGUGAGCUCUGCCAGGAUCCGUGCUAAUGGGCUGAAGUAAUCAACAGCCAUUACAGUUACGUUCAGACAUAAUUAAUCUAAUACCUUUGAGCCAUUCAAACUUAAUCCCUCCCCCAUUACAUGAUGAAAUUGACACAUAUGAAGAAUUACUGUCAAGGCCCAGGGGUGUGGGUGAAAAUUCUUUGACCUAUAGCAGACUUGGGUCCUAUUCAAAAGCAGUGUCAAUCAUAGGUGCUCAUAGCUCCCAGUGGUGAACGUUAGCUUUGAGUGGCCCACAUCCAGACGACCAGUCUGGUAGAACACAGACUUCCUAACUGUUCAACUGUUCAGUGGAUAUAUCCCUAGAAGAUGUAUCCUGGGUCUGUGUAAGCACACACGCGCACGCGCGCGCGCGCACACACACACACACACACACUCACACACACACACUUCCUUGACCCUACACUCUUCCCGACAACUGCAUGUGAAGGGCGUAGAAAUGUUACCUAGACUCAACUCUGCUCCCUAGAGAAGGACUACAAAUCUAACCCCCAACAUCCACAGAGAAACUGAGGCACAGAAGGGGGCUGCUCUCCAGAAAUCACACCGUCUUUUUUCUUUCUGUAAGAAUGGAAGGAGAAUCCUCUAAAGGAUCUAGAAAGUGGAAAAGACACAAGUAAAUCUUCCAUGCAGAACCUUCCAGACGCCCUCUUGGGAUUGUGUGUGCAUGUCCCUGUGCCUGUUACACCUCUAGCAUGGAUUUCUUCCCCGCCAUUUGUAACACAGGAGAAUGAACAUGACAUUUACCAAAUAUCCUUGCUAAGCUGGGCAAGAGGCUCAAAGAGUCUGAUUAAAUCCCUUCGAGGAGGCUACCGCUAGCUGACCUCAUUAAUAAAUGGAUGCUAAGGCUCUGUGUAAGUAAAAGGCAGGCCCCUGUUUCUGAUCCAGAGCCUCUGUUAUACCACCAUGCCAAACCCCUCCUCCCUCACAGCAUCUACUUGUCCUGAAUUCCUACAAAGACCUCAGCUCAGCUGCCAGCAAUGACCCUUUCUGAGAUGGGUAAGAUACCCCUUGUUCCUACUUUCCAACAACAUUAGAAUCUACCCUCUACAUUUUUUAAAGAUAGCAUAUAUUUUUUUCUGUAUUCUGUGCUCAUUUUAGAGCAUUGAAGCAAUACAAUGAAGUAUGAAAAGGGCGAGGGAAAUUGCCCACAAUCCUACCCUCCAAAGACAAUUCCUGUAACCAGGUUGGUACACUUCCUUCCAGAAGGGGAAACAAUGACCUGGACACAGGGACAAUCAGCACGUUAUAUAAAUGUGGGAUCUUCUCUUCUUGGUUAUUUUCAAUAUUCAUAUAUCAGUAUUUGUCCUCAUAAGUUUGAUUUUAAAUAGUUGUAGACCAUAAAUUAAUUUUCUAGUUUUCGUCCUAGUUAUCAAAACUCAUAGGUUACACAUUUCAAGAAAAAAAAAUGGAGAAGAAAUAAAAGCCCAGUAAGAAGAGAUAUCUGUACUAAAUAAUCUUAGCAGCCGAGGAUCCCUGGUGAACAUUUUCUAUGUGCAAUCUACACGCUCUUACAAAGUGACAUGAAUUUCACUGCUGGGGUGGUCCCUGAUGUUUUCAAGGAUUCUGGUCUUUAAGCUUCCUUGGUGACCAGGCAUCCAACUUCUCUCAAGCCACUAUAAUCCCAAGUACUUAUCAACAUCAUAUUUUAUUUGCCUGCUAUUAAAAAAAAAAAUCUGCAUCUGGCCAGCCUCUUGCUGGGUUGAUUUUUCAUUAAGCUAUUUAUAGCUAGAGAGUUGGUGUUUAUUUUCUCCAGGUGAAUUAGAAAAUGAAGAACAAAAACAUUGGAUUUUGCCAGGAGUCAAUAUUCUCAGCUCAAGUUAAUGAGAUGCCACAUUGAAAUCCAGGAACUCUUAAAAUUAUAAGUUCAUACCCAGAACUACUUAUGGUACCUCAGGUCAGAGAGCAGCCGUGGGCACCGUUUUAUUUGUUUUUCUCACUGCUGAGACCGAAUAUGUAAGAGCAGAAUGUUACGGGGGCAGAGAAUGUACUACAAUUUGCAGUAUGGGGUGAGAAAGAUGUAGGUUCUCGCCAUUGGCCGUGGCAGUGAGAACACGGGGCACCUUGCUCACAUAUGAGAGCUCAGGCCAGAAGCAGAGCCAACCUGGAACCCUCAAGUCCAGUCUCUACUUUCCUACCUCUUCAAGCUACACCCUGUGCCUAAAAGGUUCUCCUAGCUUUCCAAACAGCACCACCAUACAACAGCGAUCCAGAGUUCAAAUGAAGGAGCCUACGGGGAGACAUUUCACAUUCAUGUCCUGACAGACUGCACCCAGUGCAUUUCUGAGUGCCCCUGAUAAUAAUUCCAGUCUUGGUCAUCUAGUCUCUGCCAGGUUACCCCUGGCGCCGGGAGCAUCAGGAACACCUGUUGACAUUCGAAUCAAAUUCAUCUUUGUGCAACUUUGUCUAGUCAAAUGUGUUUCCCUUGGCUUUUAUGAACUACACACUUGGAGCACGCAUCCUUGAUUUUGUCUCUGAUUGUGAAACUCCCACUGCCCUUCAGUAAUUUGAAAAACUGU